UACGUAGGGACCAAGCGUUGUUCGGAUUUACUGGGCGUAAAGGGCGCGUAGGCGGCAAUUCAAGUCAUCUGUGAAAUCUCCGGGCUUAACCCGGAACGGUCAGAUGAUACUGCUUUGCUAGAGUGCGGAAGGGGCAAUCGGAAUUCUUGGUGUAGCGGUGAAAUGCGUAGAUAUCAAGAGGAACACCUGAGGUGAAGACGGGUUGCUGGGCCGACACUGACGCUGACAGCGCGAAAGCCAGGGGAGCAAACGGG
rnacentral:rRNA from 1 species